AUCGCUUCUCGGCUCCUUGGAGGUAACAUCAAAGUGUAGUGUCUGUUCUUAUCAGUUUAAUAUCUGAUAUGUUCUUUAUUUGACAACUGUAUGUUAAAUUGAUUUUUGAAACAGGUUGCUGGAAUAGGAGCUUGCUCUGUCCACCCCAUGGAUUGACCUGGUAUUGCAGUGUUUCCAGGACUGGUGCAUCUCCU